UACGUAGGGGGCAAGCGUUGUCCGGAUUUAUUGGGCGUAAAGAGCGUGUAGGCGGCCAUGUAGGUCCGUUGUGAAAACUCGAGGCUCAACCUCGAGACGCCGAUGGAAACCAUGUGGCUAGAGUCCGGAAGAGGAGAGUGGAAUUCCUGGUGUAGCGGUGAAAUGCGCAGAUAUCGGGAAGAACACCUAUGGCGAAGGCAGCUCUCUGGGACGGUACUGACGCUGAGACGCGAAAGCGUGGGGAGCGAACAGG
rnacentral:rRNA from 1 species